rnacentral:rRNA from 1 species
AAUCGGCGUAAAGAGUGGUUAGAAACAUAAGUAAACUAAAGCCGAACGCUCUCUUAACUGUUAUACGUUCUCGAGAGUAAGAAGCCCUUCUACGAAAGUGGCUUUAAUAACAUUGACCCCACGAAAGCAAUGGCACAAACUGGGAUUAGAUACCCCACUAUGCAUAGCCGUAAACUUUGGCAGCAUUUUACACAGCUGCCCGCCAGGAACUACAAGCAUCAGCUUCAAACCCAAAGGACUUGGCGGUGCUUAAGAUCCCCCUAGAGGAGCCUGUUCUAGAACCGAUACCCCCCGUUUAACCUCACCCUCCUUGUUUUUAGCCGCCUAUAUACCGCCGUCGUCAGCUUACCCUGUGAAGGCCUUUAUAGUAAGCAAAAUUAGCA